rnacentral:tRNA from 1 species
GCGGAUAUAGUACAGUGGUAGUACGCUUGGCUUCCAACCAAGAUACACGGGUUCGAAUCCCGUUAUCCGCUCCA